rnacentral:rRNA from 1 species
CCUACGGGGCGCAGCAGUCGAGAAUCAUUCACAAUGGGGGAAACCCUGAUGGUGCGACGCCGCGUGGGGGAAUGAAGGUCUUCGGAUUGUAAACCCCUGUCAUGUGGGAGCAAAUUAAAAAGAUAGUACCACAAGAGGAAGAGACGGCUAACUCUGUGCCAGCAGCCGCGGUAAUACAGAGGAUUCAAGCGUUGUUCGGAAUCACUGGGCGUAAAGCGUGCGUAGGCUGUUUCGUAAGACGUGUGUGAAAGGGGCGGGCUCAACCCGCGGACGGCACAUGAUACUGCGAGACUAGAGUAAUGGAGGGGGAACCGGAAUUCUCGGUGUAGCAGUGAAAUGCGUAGAGAUCGAGAGGAACACUCGUGGCGAAGGCGGGUUCCUGGACAUUAACUGACGCUGAGGCACGAAGGCCAGGGGAGCGAAAGGGAUUAGAUACCCCAGUAGUC